rnacentral:lncRNA from 1 species
AAGAAUAUUCAAAUUAGAAUACAUCGUUGCAUUAUUCCUCCACGUCAUUUCUCUCGUUCGUCCUGGAUUCCUUUAUUGAAGAGUUUGUGGCUCUUCAACCUCGUCAAGACCCAACAGGUUCUCCUUUAUACAGUCCACUCGCCCUUACAAAAUUAAAGUUGAAAGUAGAUAAGAAAAAUGGUAAGGGAAUAUGUGGGAACUACCUGUAAUGCUUACAGUUGUUAGAAUCGU